UGCUCUAUCCAUGAAAUAGGCAUUCCUGGGUUGCUACAGUGUAGAUAGAACAGCUAUGUCUUAUGUUUCAUGAGAGUGUUAUGGUAUAUGAAACAAGAAAGUAACAGAAACAUGAAAAUGCCCUGCUGAAUCAGAAGGUAAACUUGUGCUUCUUACAGCUGGUAGUUUCAGGCCAUGCGUGACAUCUGAUAACUGGUAAUAUAGGUAUAUUGGAGAAAUAUAGUGACUGUAGAAAGGAAUGAAAUAUUUCGGAGAAGAUCAGCGAUACAAAAUUCCAGAGAGGUAGAGUGGAUGACUUCUGGUGAAGAGAAGAUUACAAAUGACUACAGUGAGCAAUGACAUGAAAAUGAUAAUACACAGAGUGUAUUCUGCCUUCUGAUUAAAGCAUUAUCAGAAUAUUUAAAGCUUGCUCAAUGUAUAUGUACCCAGUGCUUUGAUAUGCCAGCAAUGCAUGAGUGAUUUUGUAGAGGAUUAAACAGAGUAGAGUAACAGUCUCUGAAUCUGUUUCAAAUGUCAUGAGGAUUAGUAUGAGUUUCUUAGCUUAUCUGCUAUUGAUGUCACAGCCACAUUUGUAUUUUGUUAUUUAAUCUUUCAUGUCACCAAGUAUCCGAUUUGUCCAUUUGGGCAUGAUGUUUUUAUUUUUGCAGAAUGAGAUUUUUUCAGUUAAUACUAAUUGACGCUAACAUUGUAGCGCUGAGUCAUAAAUGAAUUGUUGUACAAUUUUGUUUAGUUUGCUUUAUUUUUGUUUUCAGAGAAUCUAGUUUCUACGUUGGCUUUAUAUUUGUUUAUUACAUAGUGCACUGUGCUCCAUGUAAUAAAAAGAAACUCCAAAGACAUUUUCUCUGUGACCCCACUCACCCAGAAGAGAGUGCGUAAAACAACUGGCCUUGGAUAGGCAUGCUGCUUAUGUAAUAAGAAAAUAAAACUCAAUGUAGAACCUGAUGCCAAAUUCUCUAUUUUAUGGAUUAUAUUACUCUGCAUUCAUUUAUCUAUAUUUUAGUGUA